rnacentral:pre_miRNA from 1 species
GUACUAUUCCCUCCGUUCGGAAUUACUUGUCUUGGAAAUGGAUGUAUCUAGAACUAAAAUGCGUCUAGAUACAUCCAUUUUCGCGACAAGUAAUUCCGAACAGAGGGAGUAAAAU